GGAAAUGAAAAAUACACCGGCCAAGGGUACUCCAGCAGCCUGCGGCGUUAUCAUCAGCGAUCCUACGGAAGCUCAAAAGCUGGACCUAGUCAGCCCACGCCACCAAUGCCAUUCAUUAAUGCAGCCGUCAAUGAAAGUUGCGAAGAUAACACCUACAACAAGUUAGAUAGUCGACCGCAAAUAGUCCAGAGGAAGAAGAGUUACUCUUGCCAAUUUUACCUCAGUGAGCCAGGUACAAAUCGUGAUAAUGCUCUCGGUCGCCAUUCGCGUAAAAUGAACGCUCUUGAUGAUAUUGACAGUAAUUAUGAUGUUGGCACUCCUAUAGAUCCAGGACGAACUUCAUUCCUUCGUGGAUUUGUGGAUAUAUAUGGGGGAAUCAGGAGAAGGAGGAGGAGGAAGAAAAAGG
rnacentral:sRNA from 1 species